rnacentral:rRNA from 1 species
CAGUCGCCGCGGGAAUACGUAGGUGGCAAGCGUUGUCCGGAAUUAUUGGGCGUAAAGGGCUCGCAGGCGGUUUCUUAAGUCUGAUGUGAAAGCCCCCGGCUCAACCGGGGAGGGUCAUUGGAAACUGGGAAACUUGAGUGCAGAAGAGGAGAGUGGAAUUCCACGUGUAGCGGUGAGAUGCGUAGAGAUGUGGAGGAACACCAGUGGCGAAGGCGACUCUCUGGUCUGUAACUGACGCUGAGGAGCGAAAGCGUGGGGAGCGAACAGGAUUAGAUACCCCUGUAGUCCCUGUCUCUUAUAC